GACGAACGCUGGCGGCGUGCUUAACACAUGCAAGUCGAACGGAAAGGCCCUGCUUUUGUGGGGUGCUCGAGUGGCGAACGGGUGAGUAACACGUGAGUAACCUGCCCUUGACUUUGGGAUAACUUCAGGAAACUGGGGCUAAUACCGGAUAGGAGCUCCUGCUGCAUGGUGGGGGUUGGAAAGUUUCGGCGGUUGGGGAUGGACUCGCGGCUUAUCAGCUUGUUGGUGGGGUAGUGGCUUACCAAGGCUUUGACGGGUAGCCGGCCUGAGAGGGUGACCGGCCACAUUGGGACUGAGAUACGGCCCAGACUCCUACGGGAGGCAGCAGUGGGGAAUAUUGCACAAUGGGCGGAAGCCUGAUGCAGCAACGCCGCGUGCGGGAUGACGGCCUUCGGGUUGUAAACCGCUUUCGCCUGUGACGAAGCGUGAGUGACGGUAAUGGGUAAAGAAGCACCGGCUAACUACGUGCCAGCAGCCGCGGUGAUACGUAGGGUGCGAGCGUUGUCCGGAUUUAUUGGGCGUAAAGGGCUCGUAGGUGGUUGAUCGCGUCGGAAGUGUAAUCUUGGGGCUUAACCCUGAGCGUGCUUUCGAUACGGGUUGACUUGAGGAAGGUAGGGGAGAAUGGAAUUCCUGGUGGAGCAGUGGAAUGCGCAGAUAUCAGGAGGAACACCAGUGGCGAAGGCGGUUCUCUGGGCCUUUCCUGACGCUGAGGAGCGAAAGCGUGGGGAGCGAACAGGCUUAGAUACCCUGGUAGUCCACGCUGUAAACGGUGGGUACUAGGUGUGGGGUCCAUUCCACGGGUUCCGUGCCGUAGCUAACGCUUUAAGUACCCCGCCUGGGGAGUACGGCCGCAAGGCUAAAACUCAAAGGAAUUGACGGGGCCCCGCACAAGCGGCGGAGCAUGCGGAUUAAUUCGAUGCAACGCGUAGAACCUUACCUGGGUUUGACAUGGAUCGGGAGUGCUCAGAGAUGGGUGUGCCUCUUUUGGGGUCGGUUCACAGGUGGUGCAUGGCUGUCGUCAGCUCGUGUCGUGAGAUGUUGGGUUAAGUCCCGCAACGAGCGCAACCCUUGUUCACUGUUGCCAGCACGUUAUGGUGGGGACUCAGUGGAGACCGCCGGGGUCAACUCGGAGGAAGGUGGGGAUGACGUCAAGUCAUCAUGCCCCUUAUGUCCAGGGCUUCACGCAUGCUACAAUGGCUGGUACAGAGAGUGGCGAGCCUGUGAGGGUGAGCGAAUCUCGGAAAGCCGGUCUCAGUUCGGAUUGGGGUCUGCAACUCGACCUCAUGAAGUCGGAGCCGCUAGUAAUCGCAGAUCAGCAACGCUGCGGUGAAUAAAUUCCCGGGGCU
rnacentral:rRNA from 1 species